rnacentral:lncRNA from 1 species
AUUUGGUGUUAAUUGCAGCCCGUCUAAACUAUUUUGGCUUGUUCUCAAUUAUCUUUUCGGUUCAUCUUGGUUUCAUACUAGUUUGUUAUAAAAUAUUAUUUUGUAUUGAUUGCUGUGGAUACAAUAAGAAGUAUCAUAGCCAUUAUAUGUGCAAUAUGGCUAUGAGAACAGCCUUAUAUAAUAGCCACUAGAAAACCUAUACAUUUUUACGGCCAACAAAAUAUAUAUAUAUAUAAAUGAAUUAAUGUAGUACAUAUUUCGGGGGA